UGAGGAAUAUUGGUCAAUGGACGAGAGUCUGAACCAGCCAUGCCGCGUGAAGGAUGAAGGCGUUCUGCGUUGUAAACUUCUUUUGCGGGGGAAGAAACCUUGAUAUUCUUAUCAAGCCGACGGUACCCCGAGAAUAAGCACCGGCUAACUCCGUGCCAGCAGCCGCGGUAAUACGGAGGGUGCAAGCGUUAUCCGGAUUUACUGGGUUUAAAGGGUGAGUAGGCGGAUUAUUAAGUCAGCGGUGAAAGCCCCGGGCUCAACCUGGGAAAUGCAGUGGAUACUGGGAAGCUAGAGUGCGGUAGAGGGUAGUGGAAUUCCCGGUGUAGCGGUGAAAUGCAUAGAUAUGACCCGGAACACCGAUUGCGAAGGCAGCCCACUAAGCAAUGAUUGACGCUGAGGCACGAAAGCGUGGGGAUCAAACA
rnacentral:rRNA from 1 species